rnacentral:lncRNA from 1 species
GGGCCUAGGCCUAUAAGGAAGGAGUCUUGAAUUCGUUCAUCGUAGUUUUCAGCUAGCUUUAGCACGAUUCCCAUGGUUAGUGGAUUUAUUGCUUAGGGCUCUUUGACAUAUCCUUUCCUUCCGCUUCUAGCUUUCUACUUAACUUAAUAUAUUGAUUUGCCCAUCUCCCCUAAUUUCACCUUGGUAUGCCAAUGUUCAGUCAAUCGGAGCUGCUUUUCCUUUUCUCAGUGAGUCUUCGUCCUCUUAGCUCUUAGCUUUCGCUGCGAUCCCUUGUAUAGGUCUUGGCAAAGCCUUUGCCGCUGAUCGGAAUCUUUUAAAUCUUUAGCGGAUUCUUCCUCAACGUAGGCAGCAAAAGAAGUUUUAGUGGAUUAGCCUCUAUAACUUUUUCCAUCUUUUUUCUCCAUUAGCUCCAUGCUGUCUGGUGGUCUCAUUCUGUCUCUCUGAAUAGGUUAAGCCAAUAGGAUAGCACAAGCUCAUCUUUCCUAAAGACGGCUUUGAAGUGGCAGACUGAAGAGAUGACGCUUUUUCGUACGGUUAUUGCUUUCUUUUGUAGGUGGGAAUGAUCAUAGAAUGAAAGAAAUUUCCAAUCCUCAAUGGAAGAAGGGGCAGAGACAGCUGCCAAAUGCUUAUUAAAUAAGGCUCUGUUUAGACGGGCCUCAAUGCCUCUUUCAUUUUCCUCUUACCUUACUGAAAUUGAUUCCUCCUUUUGUAAUUGCUCUUUCUGGGCAGGGGAACUUCAAGGCAAGCAGCUUCACUCAAAGAUCAACGCAAAUAACGAAAGGAGGACAACGAUGAGAAUUCAACGACCAAGGGAGGGUAUAAGGCACGUAUUAAGAAGUCAGUCAUUCAAGCUAGACGAAGCCACUGCUUGAUCCGAGAUCUGUAAAUGGGAGAACUAUAGAAUCGUGAGAUCUGUAAAUGAGAGAACUAUAGAAUCCCAGGAAAGCGACACAAUGUUUGGAAUAGAGCCGGAUCAUCUUUCUUAGCUGGAAGAGAUGAACAUCUUAGGAAAGGAAAUAGCACUUCUACCCUCAACCUAAGUGAUCUUUGGCCAACUAUGGAUUCAUCCAACCCGGUCUUUUUUUAGUCAAGUAGAUUUCUGGGCGGAACUCCGAUAGAAAGAUCAACAAUUGGAUCCAUUAAGGCUAAACCAUUGGCACGUAGAUGCAUAAAUUAGUCUUUGAUGUCAAGAUGACCAUCCCAGGAAAGAGAGAGAGCUAUUGAGAACGCUAGGCCAGCUUUCCUUAUCAGUCUAUUUUACUACUUCUGCUGAGCCAUAACAAGACUUUGGGGACCGACGUGGGUGAUUAUACAUUAAUUCAGUUUCGAGUGCAAAAAAUGCCCUUUUCUUCUUUGCUUUCUCUAGUUGCGGUAUUGCAGCUGGCAGCUUUGUUCAAAGGAUGAAGCCUUUAGUGGGGCUAAGCUGUGGAAGAAGAGAGUUAAUCAGUCUCCUUUUUGGUGCUCUUGCAAAAGAAAGAUAGGGUCUUUUGGGACAAGAAAGACGCUUAAUAGUAAAGUAGGGCAAGGAAAAGGACUGAGAGAAAGUGAGCUCCUUCUCUUUUCAACCCGCGCACCCGCGGGGGCUUGGCUAAGUACUCAAGAAGAGAUUAGCCCUUCUGUGUCGAAGAUCGAUCUCCCCCAUCAUAUGCCAUACGAAAAUCUUACUAUAUAUAUAAUUAUUCAUUGAUCAAGUCAAGUUAAGAUGAGAGUGAGGAAGAAAGUCAGACCCUUGGCCAGGAGUUUUAAUCUGCUCACAACCAAUCCCGGGAGGAGGCGGGCUAUUGCCUCUGACUGUGAAUUGAGGUUCUUUCUCUCCUUAUAUAUGCGAGCAACUUCACGAGCAGAUUGCGAGAGUGUAAUGGCUGGGAUGGAUGAUUUUUGCUUACAGCCGCAUUCGCUGCAUAUAAUAUACGAAAUAUAGAAGAAAUUCUAAGGUGUGGACCCUUGUCUCGACUUGCUUGAUUAGUGAUAGGUAUGACCUAAAAGGGAGCUAAAAUUUCCGGGGAAGGGGAAAUGCCUUCUUUACCCUCUUCUUUCAUUCCAUUAUUCAUCAUAGCCUAUUCCCUUGACUAAGGCCUUUGAGGCAACUUCCUUCCUUGAUUGUCUUUAUGUGAUUUGAGCAAGCCGGUAACGGAGAGAAAGGUGAUAGGUAGAUCCAUGACGAUCUCUCGACCUAAACGGUAGCUUUCCAGACGAAAGUAGUCUCGAAUGGGUAACCACAUUCAUAGUGGGUACCGAGAAUCC